CAGUCGCCGCGGUAAGACAGAGGAUGCAAGCGUUAUCCGGAAUGAUUGGGCGUAAAGCGUCUGUAGGUGGCUUUUCAAGUCCGCCGUCAAAUCCCAGGGCUCAACCCUGGACAGGCGGUGGAAACUACCAAGCUAGAGUACGGUAGGGGCAGAGGGAAUUCCCGGUGGAGCGGUGAAAUGCGUUGAGAUCGAAAAGAACACCAACGACGAAAGCACUCUGCUGGGUCGACACUGACACUGAGAGACGAAAGCUAGGGGAGCAAAUGGGAUUAGAGACCCGCGUAGUCCCUGUCUCUUAUAC
rnacentral:rRNA from 1 species